rnacentral:rRNA from 1 species
AUUGAACGCUGGCGGCAGGCCUAACACAUGCAAGUCGAGCGCGAAAGUUCCUUCGGGAACCGGUAGAGCGGCGGACGGGUGAGUAACGCGUAGGAAUUUGCCCAGUAGUGGGGGACGAACUCGGGAAACUCGAGCUAAUACCGCAUACGCCCCAACGGGGAAAGGCAGGGAGUCUUCGGACCUUGCGCUAUUGGAUAAGCCUGCGUCGGAUUAGCUAGUUGGUAGGGUAAAGGCCUACCAAGGCGACGAUCCGAGCUGGUCUGAGAGGAUGAUCAGCCACACUGGGACUGAGACACGGCCCAGACUCCUACGGGAGGCAGCAGUGGGGAAUAUUGGACAAUGGGGGCAACCCUGAUCCAGCCAUGCCGCGUGUGUGAAGAAGGCCUUAGGGUUGUAAAG